AAUCACAUCAACAACCAUCAACCCUUCCUUAUUAAUGAAUGAUUUUAUAAUAAUAUAAAAAACAUUAUGCUAGAACUAGUAACAAGAAUUUUAUUCUCCUAAAUGUAAGUAUUAACCUAAGUAAAUGCCGGUAAUUAACGAAAAUGAGCUCACUACAGCAACCACCAAGAAAACCCUGCAUCAAAUUCUCGUAAACCUAACACUAGAACAUUUCAGGAAAGAUUUAAAGAAAAAGAAGGAACUCGGCAAAUUUCAAUCCCGCCUGUUUACCAAAAACAUCGCCUCUUGCCACCCAUAAGAGGUCCAGCCUGCCCAGUGAAAAAUUCAACGGCCGCGGUAUCCUAACCGUGCGAAGGUAGCAUAAUCACUUGUUCUUUAAAUAAGGACUAGUAUCAAUGGCAUCACGAGGGUUGCACUGUCUCCUUUUUCUAAUCAGUGAAACUGAUCUCCUCGUGAAGAAGCGAGGAUAAAAAUAUAAGACGAGAAGACCCCAUGGAGCUUUAAACCCUCAGCAACUUACCUACUCACAUCCUUUUAAUUAUAAAGCUAUGCUCACCGGUUUUAAGUUGGGGUGACCACGGAGUAAAAAUCAACCUCCACAACGAAAAGAACUAAAUCUUUAUCUAAGAGCCACACCUCUAAGAAUUAGAACACUAACGUUUAAUGACCCGACAAACGAUCAACGGACCAAGUUACCCUGGGGAUAACAGCGCAAUCUACUUCUAGAGCCCAUAUCAACAAGUAGGCUUACGACCUCGAUGUUGGAUCAGGGUAUCCCAGUGGUGCAGCCGCUACUGAUGGUUC
rnacentral:rRNA from 1 species